CCUACGGGAGGCAGCAGUGAGGAAUAUUGGUCAAUGGACGCAAGUCUGAACCAGCCAUGCCGCGUGCAGGAAGACGGCUCUAUGAGUUGUAAACUGCUUUUGUACGAGGGUAACCGCAGAUACGCGUAUCUGUCUGAAAGUAUCGUACGAAUAAGGAUCGGCUAACUCCGUGCCAGCAGCCGCGGUAAUACGGAGGAUUCAAGCGUUAUCCGGAUUUAUUGGGUUUAAAGGGUGCGUAGGCGGUCGGAUAAGUUAGAGGUGAAAUCCCGAGGCUCAACUUCUGAAUUGCCUCUGAUACUGUGCGGCUAGAGAGUAGUUGCGGUAGGCGGAAUGUAUGGUGUAGCGGUGAAAUGCUUAGAGAUCAUACAGAACACCGAUUGCGAAGGCAGCUUACCAAGCUACUACUGACGUUGAGGCACGAAAGCGUGGGGAGCAAACAGGAUUAGAUACCCUGGUAGUC
rnacentral:rRNA from 1 species